rnacentral:rRNA from 1 species
CAAUAUAAGUGAUGGCGACCGGCGCACGGGUGAGUAACACGUAUCCAACCUGCCGAUAACUCGGGGAUAGCCUUUCGAAAGAAAGAUUAAUACCCGAUGGUAUAAUAAAACCGCAUGGUUUAAUUAUUAAAGAAUUUCGGUUAUCGAUGGGGGAUGCGUUCCAUUAGGCAGUUGGUGAGGUAACGGCUCACCAAACCUUCGAUGGAUAGGGGUUCUGAGAGGAAGGUCCCCCACAUUGGAACUGAGACACGGUCCAA